AUUGAACGCUGGCGGCAGGCCUAACACAUGCAAGUCGAACGGUAACAGGAAGAAGCUUGCUUCUUUGCUGACGAGUGGCGGACGGGUGAGUAAUGUCUGGGAAACUGCCUGAUGGAGGGGGAUAACUACUGGAAACGGUAGCUAAUACCGCAUAACGUCGCAAGACCAAAGAGGGGGACCUUCGGGCCUCUUGCCAUCGGAUGUGCCCAGAUGGGAUUAGCUAGUAGGUGGGGUAACGGCUCACCUAGGCGACGAUCCCUAGCUGGUCUGAGAGGAUGACCAGUCACACUGGAACUGAGACACGGUCCAGACUCCUACGGGAGGCAGCAGUGGGGAAUAUUGCACAAUGGGCGCAAGCCUGAUGCAGCCAUGCCGCGUGUAUGAAGAAGGCCUUCGGGUUGUAAAGUACUUUCAGCGGGGAGGAAGGGAGUAAAGUUAAUACCUUUACUCAUUGACGUUACCCGCAGAAGAAGCACCGGCUAACUCCGUG
rnacentral:rRNA from 1 species